rnacentral:lncRNA from 1 species
CCGAAGAGUUACUCGCAAGUCAACAGCAUAGCAUAGUGGGCUCAGUGAUGGGCUACGGAGUAGAACCGCUCGGGUUCGAGGCACACAGGUACAUAAGGAUUUUUCCAGAAAUGCAAACAUAGAAAUACGGCGUAAGAAGAAGAAGGCUGGCCCCCAUCAGACACGAGAGUGGGGGGUGACAGUAGGGCACCCAGGGAAAGCAAAACAUCAAAGAUGGGCGCAAAUAUGGGAGAACGCAUUUUUUGCUCACGCGCGAGCGCCGCGCAACGCAGACAACCUUUUUCCGACUGCCCCAAAAUGCUGCACCUCGUUUACAUCCUGUCCACCCCCAGAAAUAAUGGGAUCCCCUUUUUCAGUGUCGCCUCCAGGCGACGGGAUGCGAUCACGCUGGACAGGUCAGUUCAACUGUUAUCAUCAAUAGAAC